AGCCGGCUCAGUGCCAGGGGCCCGCGAGCAGCAGAAUGUCACUCCUGUUUGGCUCUAGUCUCCCUCCAGGAUGCCUGUCCCCUGGCCACCUGUUGGCCUCCUAGUAUAUACGGUUCCAGUUCCUGCUGGCAGUUCUGUGGGAAUUCAGAGCCAGUGCUGAAGAAGAGCCUCCCCAGGGACUGAGGUGUCCUCUGCCUCACACUGUCACCCCGCAAACGGCUUGCCUCAUACCUGAAAUCCGGCUGCCGGUGCCCAAAGCUCAGAGUGUCAGCCUCGCUGAGGCUGGAUCGGGGGCUCUGUGGACAUGCCCGAGACGGCAGGCGCGGGGAGCGUGCAUGGAUAAACAAACUGAAGCUUAAAGAAUUGAUAGAAGUCGGUGAAGGUGAACGAUGAGGAAGCUCAGGUCUGAUGGAUGCCAAGACCCCUGGACCAGGACAUACAGGCCCCAGGCGUCUGCAGUGCCUGACUGAGAUCUCAGUGGGUUCCCUUAAGGACACUGUGACAUGUGCCACCACCAUCUCACUCCACGGAGAGCCAGCCUGAAGCCCCCAGCACAGAGCCUGGUUCAGUGGGCACCCGUUAGACCUUUGAAGAACGGAUGAUUGAAUGCUGUGUUAAUUUCCUAGAGCUGCUGUAACAAAGCGCCACAAACAAGGUGGCUUAAAAACAGCAGAAACUUGCUUUCUCACAAUUCUGGAGGUCAGAAGUCCAAAAUCAAGGUGUCGGCACAGUCAUGCUCCCCUGACGACUGUAGGCAGGGUCCUUCCUUGCCUCUUCCACCUUCUGGGGGUGACUAGCAGGCCUUGGAAGUCCUUGGCUCGUAGAUGCAUCACCAGUCUCCGCCUCUGUCUUUGAGGAGCCCUCUCCCUGUGUCAGCCUGUGUCUCCUCUCGCUCUUACAAGCACACCAGUCACAUUGGAUUAGGUCCCACCCCAAUGACCUCAUCUCAACUUGACCACAUCUGCAAAGACCUUAUUUCGAAAUAAGGUCCCAUGCACAGGCACAGGAGUUAGGACUUCAACAUAGCCUUUUGAGGGACACAAUUCAACCCAUAAUAAUUGUCAAGGGCAAUUUGCUUGUGGUUUGACUUUCAAUUAAAAUUAAAGCUCGCAGGUUUGGUUUGUCCAGCGAGUGAAAGGUUGGCAGCAUUUAUGAGGUGGUGUCGCCUUACACUCUGCAGAGAUGUACUUGUUUCACCCGUGACUCCUUUCCUUUUUAUUAGUCCAUCAGUGAUGCUUUUGUGGUCACAGUAAUGACAGUGUUUACUCCAGGCUUAAGUGCCUGUGCUCCUCGCUCUCUCUUUCAUGUUAGGUGUUAAAAUGGAAUAUUAACUUGGAAUAUAGCCUCUCCUUCCUGUGCAGUGGCAAGAAGCAUUCUAAAGUCAAAAUAAGUCAAGCUGACCUCGCAUUCCUUUUUUUUCUUUCUAUUUUUUCUCCCCAAAUGCCCCCAGUGCAUAGUUGUAUAUUUUAGUUGUGGGUCCUUCUAGUCGUGUCAUGUGGGAUGCUGCCUCAACGUGGUUCCAGUAGUGCCAUAGUCCAUGCCCAGGAUCCGAACCAGUGAAACCCUGGGCCGCCAGAGCGGAGCACACGAACUUAACCACUCGGCCGUGGGGCCGGCCCCUGACCUCACAUUCUAACUGACGUCCAAACUCCUCUGCCUGGGCCUUAAGCCUUAAGCCCAGCCCCAACUCUCCUUUCCUGCUGCCGCUCCUCCUUUCGCACACUCUUGGGGCUCCACGCACACUGCUGCUUCCUCUUCCUGGAAAUACCCCUUGGACUUUCACAUUCACACCUUUGCUGUAUCGUACCUGGAGUCCCCUUCCUGUAUCCAGCUCUUCCUGUUCAAAUUCCACCCAAUCUCUCAGGCCAAGUUCAAAGGCCACCUCCUCCAGGAAGCUUUCCCUGAUCCUCCAGCUUCCUGCUCAGAAGGCCAGUGGCCCUGGUCGGCCUUCACUUAAGGCACUGACCACACACUGUUCCAGUCUGAAGCAAAUUUAUGUCUUUCCCCCAUUCCCUCUACUCCUACUAAAGAGUAAUGAAGAAAAGUCUAGAGGCCACUUAUUUAAGAAAUGGCUGAGGUUGCUGGGGAUGUUCGCUUGGAAAAAAGAAUACAUCCAGGGAGGCAGGUGCCCCAAGCUUCCUUCAAGGGCUCAGAUUCUAUCAGACUAGGAGCUCCUUGUGGAAAAUACACCUGGGCCUCUUCAGAGGUCCUUUAUACACACACACACACACACAAACACCUGUGCCUAGCACAGAGCAGGGCUCCAAUAUAACCUCCUGCCCAAUGGAAAAGUUCUCUCUUUUGCACACUUUUCAGGUGGUGUGGUAAGCAGAAUUCUAAGAUGGCCCCCAAGACUUCCCGCACCCCAGGUGUGCCUGCCCUGAGUAAUCCCUGGGACUGUGAAGAUGAUGGUUUCACUCCUGUGAUUAGGUCAGGAUAUACGGCCCAGUUGACGUUAAAAUAGAGAGAGUAUCUGAGUGGGCCUGUCCUCAUCACCGGAGCCCUUUAAAAGCAGAGUUUCCUCCAGCUGGUCACAAAAGGGGAAGUCAAAGCAUGAGAGGGAUGUGACUCGGGGGAGGUCCUCCAGGGCUAAGGUGGAGGGGCCACAUGACAAGGACCUGAGAGUGGCCUCUAGGUGCUGAGAGCAGUUCCCAACCACCAGCCAGCAAGACAACAGGCACUCAGUCCUACAACCAUAAGGAAGUGAAUUCGACCAACAACUGAGGAAGCUGGGAAGAGGGUCUUUCCCUAGUCGGAGCCUCCAGAUGAGGACAUGGUUGGCCAACAUCUUGGUUUCAGCCUCAUGAGACCCUGAGCAGGGGGAACGGCUAAAAUUUGCUGGACUCUUGACCCAUGGAAACCAUGAGCUAAUAAAUGGGUGUUAUGUUAA
ensembl:lncRNA